UCUGAUCAACAUUAAAGGAAGUUCUAGAUACAUUACAUUAUUAAAUUUACAGUGUUUAAUAUGAAAAUGACUUGUAGUGUUGUACAUUUUAAACAUGCUUUGUGCCAAUCACCGACCACCUUUCCCUGUCUGUUUUUUUUUACAGUCAUGCUAAGAAGAAGUCAACGUUUAAUAAACAAUGGAUACUAUGACAUGUAUGGAAUACCAGUAAUUUCAUACAAAGAGACUCCAAACAGGUAUAUUCAAUCAGGAAUUUGUUUGGCUCUUAUGUUUUACACAGUCAUCUGCUGUGUAAAACAUAAGUGUUUACACUAUAAAAAUGUUUACACACUUGUAUUUUCUCCAUCUAGGGCCAGAAGGAGGCGCAUAGCACGUCGCCCUGUAAACCAGCCUGUAAUGUUUAGGGAAAGGUUUCGUAGUCGUGAAGACAAUAGGCGUGACCAAGAAAACCAGAUGAUGGAAAUUCUCAUACAGGAUUAUUAUAAAAUCUUUGUAUUUGUCUUUCGUAUCUUUGUCGCUUUUGGUAAAUACUCUCCUUCAACAAAUAGUCAGUUUAGAAGUGUUAUAGAAAGGCUGUAUUUUAACUGUUGUCUGACUGUCAUCUUCUGCUCAUGUUCAUCAGCUUGUAUUUGGUGGAUUAUUGCUCUGCACUCGCAGAGAAAAUCUUCAGAAUUAUCUGUCACACCACCUCAAAUAGACAUGGCUAUAAUCUCUGGAUGUAAGGAUCAGGGACAUCUCUCCAGGCUGCAGUUGUUGGAGGCAAAGCUUGAGUACCUUCUACCACAAGCAGAUCUGUGGCCCAACUUUGCUCUGGAGUCUCAAGGAGCAACGAUUUUACACAAGAUGACCUCACAAACAUUUCAGAGCUAUAAAAUGUGUAGAAUGUUUGGUGCAUCUUUUAGGCUACCAAAUUUUGGCCCAGACAUUGUUAUUAAGGUCUGAAUGACACUCAAAUCAUUAAAAAUCAAUGUUAGGAAAAGUGGUGUGUCUUGUUGAUAUAGUAUUAGGCUUUACAAUUUUCUUUUCUCUUAGUCAUGGUACCCCACCUAAACUUUGUUUUGUUCUCUGUCUUCAGGGAAGAUCUCAGCUGAAUCCAGGACAAUGCUGGGCCUUUGCAGGCCUCCCAGGACGUUUAUCCAUCUCACUGUCCCACAAAGCCACCAUCACUCAUGUGUCCCUGGGUCAUAUUCCCAAGAUUGUUUCCCCAACUGCGUCAGUCUCCAGUGCUCCUAAAGAAUUUUCUGUCUAUGGAAAGAAGAAUUUAGAAGAUGAGAGUCAUUUGGGAACUUUCCUAUACGAUGAAGGUGGCGACCAAAUACAGACCUUCAAAGUUCCUGCCAAUAAAGUUGGUUCCUUCAACCAUGUCACGCUAAAGGUGAUCAGCAAUUGGGGUAAUCCGGAUUAUACCUGCUUGUAUAACUUUAGAAUUCAUGGGGAAUUUUCCAAUUGAUGACAACAAGGAGGAAAACGAUAAAAGAUAUGGAGAAAAAUAUUUUUUUCCCCUUUCAUAUAUUUCUUUUGUAUAUGUUUAUAUAAUUAAUUUUAAGUCCUCACAAAAGACAGAUACACCAGUCAACCAUAAGUAGAUAAACAAAUGAAGAAGGAAAAAUAACACACGCAUAUGCACACAGGCCCUCAGACAGGUAUAACAGGAACCAAUUACUUGUAAGUCUAGAUUUUGUUCUAAUGGACUGAAAUGAGGGCUGCACAAUGGCGCAGUUGGCAGAACUGUUGCCUUGCAGAAAAAAAGUGGUAUGCGUGGGUUUUUUCCGGGUGCUCCGGCUUCCUCCCACAGUAAAAACAUGACUGUUAGGUUAAUUGGUCUGUCUAAAAUCUCCUUAGAUGUAAUUGAUUGUUGAUUGUCCUGUCUCUCUCUAAAUAGAGCAGGAUCCAUUAACACAUCUUUUUAAAUAAUUCUUAUUUUCGUAACCUACUCCCAAAAAGCCGUGGUUUUGUUGCAUUGCCAUGAGCAAUGUAAUAGUGCCUCUUUCUCCACCAUGCAUACACAAAUCUAGAAUGAUGGGGUUAAAUUAUUCAGUUUUACAGGUGUGAUGUAUAUUCUCAUCAUCCAUUUAUACUGUAAUAGUCUAGACUUUGUUCUAAUGGAUUGGGAAUGGGGGCUGCACAAUGGCGCACUGUUGCCUUGCAGAAAAGAGGUUCAAUAAUAAUAAAAGUGGCAUGUGUGGGUUCUCUCCGGGUGCUCCGGCUUCCUCCCACAAUAAAAACAUGACUGUUAGGUUAAUUGGCGCUGCAUGGUUGAUUGUCCUGUGUGUUGCCCUGGGAUGGAUUGGCAACCUGGACAAUUCCAUGUUGUGAAUUUAAGUCAUAUUUUUUGCACCAUUUAAAAUGAAAACACUGACAACAUAACAUAAACUGUUAAUACAGUUUAUGUUAUAACAGUUUUUACAUAAACUGUUGUUACGUUUAACAUAAACUGUCUGAGAACAUUAACAUAUUCAAACACAAACAUAAACUGUGAAAACAUGUUUAUUUCUUAAUCAAAAUUAAAGAUUUUCUGUGCAGGAUAUGGGAACACAGCAACAUGAUUUUGUAGAUAAUGGUGAACUAACACAAUUCUUUAAGUUCUUUCAGGACUGACUCCAGUGAGAGGUAGUUUGCUGCUACAGGCUCAGACUGCAACAGUCUGUCAAUAGCUAUUUUCUGUUAAUAGCCAUCUUAUAGACAGAGCACUACUUUCCUAGAUCUCCCUUUUUUAACAUGUGUAAUGUAAACUAAUAUUAUAACUAAAUCUGUCUUUCUUCUUUCAGAGGUUUGCUGACAGUUUUGUGUUUGUGUGGUUUUGUUUUUUUUUAUUUUUGCCCUCUUGAAGCCAGCCAGCCUCGGCAGAUGGCUGCUCAUCCUGAGUCUGGUUCUGCUGGAGGUUUCUUCCUUUUAAAGGGAGUUUUCCUCUCCACUGUUGCCUUGUGCUUGCUCAGGAUGGGGGAUCCCUUGGAUUAAACAUCCAUCGCGAUCUGCUGGUGACCCCUCUGCAGAAUCGCCACCUUAACGUGGUGGAGGGGUUUGAGUAUCCCUAUGACCCAGAUGGAAAUUUUGCCUUGGGGAUCAGCCAGUAGUGGGGCUUCCCAGGGCAGAUAACCAUUGGGGAGGGAUCAGACUAAGAGCGAUUCAAGGUUUUCAAUGAAGGACUACCAAAGGGAUCAGGUAUUUCUAGGAGAGAGACAGUUAUCCCAAGUUCGGUUUUGCAGGAAGUUUCUCCCUAUAAAAAGUCAGUUGUCUUCCUCACUGAUGAAAAUGAUAAUGAAUUCACUGUACUCCCAUGCCCUCCUGUGACUGCUAACUGUGCUUCCAUUAAGGUACCAGAAUGGGAGGCUCCUAAGGUCACAUGGGGACUUUGGUCUAUUUGGCCCAGGGGCUUCAGUUCAACGUGUGAGCAGUGUAAGACAAGUGGAGAUUUGACACAGACACACGGGCAUGGAAGGUUCUGGCUCAGUACUUGGAGAGGAGCCGCUCACCCACACUUGAAGGAGGUACACACCUUUUAGCAGUCACCUACACAUGAAGGGGCCAAUGGGUCCAUGCUUGAAGGAGAACUGCGCAUGACAGAGGGCCAGAAGGAGGCGUGCACAUGUCAGUUCAGCGAUUCCCGGGCAUAUGCCAACAUGCCUGGGCUUCUGCCUACAUGUCUGGGAUGGUGCCCACAUACUCUUGACUUGUGUUUUAAAAAUAAAGGCCUCUAAAGUGCUUAAAAUGGUUACUGGUGUUGUAUCCACUCAUUCUUCUUUUAUGGCCUUUGAGGGGGCCCGUAACACUCCAAGUCAGUAGAUCUCAACCCUUUGAAGCACAUUUAUGAUGUUGUGAUAUGAAAGAUUUGCAUCAUCAACAAGGAGACAAAAAAUAGGCAGCAAUUCAUCAUCUGUCAAAGAUACAACUAUACUAUUUGUACAGUCCUUCCAACCUACAAACAACUGAAUGUGAGAAACUGCAACAUUGCAUGGCAUGUGCAGGGUUUCCUUCAGAAAACUUGCUAAGCCCGGGGUCAGGGCACCAAGGCUGUCCACUGGUGUUUUGUA